rnacentral:misc_RNA from 1 species
GAUGAAGAACGUAGCGAAAUGCGAUAAGUAAUGUGAAUUGCAGAAUUCAGUGAAUCAUCGAAUCUUUGAACGCACAUUGCGCCCGCCAGCAUUCUGGCGGGCAUGCCUGUCCGAGCGUCAUUUCAACCCUCGAACCCCUCCGGGGGGUCGGCGUUGGGGAUCGGCCCUUUCACCGGGUGCCGGCCCCUAAAUACAGUGGCGGUCUCGCCGCAGCCUCUCAUGCGCAGUAGUUUGCACACUCGCACCGGGAGCGCGGCGCGUCCACGUCCGUAAAACACCCCAACUUCUGAAAUGUUGACCUCGGAUCAGGUAGGAAUACCCGCUGAACUUAAGCAUAUCAAUAAGCGGAGGA